UACGAAGGGGGGCUAGCGUUGUUCGGAAUCACUGGGCGUAAAGGGCGCGUAGGCGGCUUUAUAAGUCGGGGGUGAAAGCCUGUGGCUCAACCACAGAAUUGCCUUCGAUACUGUAGAGCUUGAGACCGGAAGAGGUAAGUGGAACUGCGAGUGUAGAGGUGAAAUUCGUAGAUAUUCGCAAGAACACCAGUGGCGAAGGCGGCUUACUGGUCCGGUUCUGACGCUGAGGCGCGAAAAGCGUGGGGAGCAAACAGG
rnacentral:rRNA from 1 species